rnacentral:rRNA from 1 species
CUUAACACAUGCAAGUCGAACGGAUAGGCCCUGCUUUUGUGGGGUGCUCGAGUGACGAACGGGUGAGUAACACGUGAGUAACCUGCCCUUGACUUUGGGAUAACUUCAGGAAACUGGGGCUAAUACCGGAUAGGAGCUCCUGCUGCAUGGUGGGGGUUGGAAAGUUUCGGCGGUUGGGGAUGGACUCGCGGCUUAUCAGCUUGUUGGUGGGGUAGUGGCUUACCAAGGCUUUGACGGGUAGCCGGCCUGAGAGGGUGACCGGCCACAUUGGGACUGAGAUACGGCCCAGACUCCUACGGGAGGCAGCAGUGGGGAAUAUUGCACAAUGGGCGGAAGCCUGAUGCAGCAACGCCGCGUGCGGGAUGACGGCCUUCGGGUUGUAAACCGCUUUCGCCUGUGACGAAGCGUGAGUGACGGUAAUGGGUAAAGAAGCACCGGCUAACUACGUGCCAGCAGCCGCGGUGAUACGUAGGGUGCGAGCGUUGUCCGGAUUUAUUGGGCGUAAAGGGUUCGUAGGUGGUUGAUCGCGUCGGAAGUGUAAUCUUGGGGCUUAACCCUGAGCGUGCUUUCGAUACGGGUUGACUUGAGGAAGGUAGGGGAGAAUGGAAUUCCUGGUGGAGCGGUGGAAUGCGCAGAUAUCAGGAGGAACACCAGUGGCGAAGGCGGUUCUCUGGGCCUUUCCUGACGCUGAGGAGCGAAAG